rnacentral:rRNA from 1 species
UAGGGAAUCUUCCACAAUGGACGCAAGUCUGAUGGAGCAACGCCGCGUGAGUGGAGAAGGUUUUCGGACCGUAAAGCUCUGUUGUUGGUGAAGAAGGAUAGAGGUAGUAACUGGCCUUUAUUUGACGGUAAUCAACCAGAAAGUCACGGCUAACUACGUGCCAGCAGCCGCGGUAAUACGUAGGUGGCAAGCGUUGUCCGGAUUUAUUGGGCGUAAAGCGAGCGCAGGCGGAAGAAUAAGUCUGAUGUGAAAGCCCUCGGCUUAACCGAGGAAUUGCAUCGGAAACUGUUUUCUUGAGUGCAGAAGAGGAGAGUAGAACUCCAUGUGUGGCGGUGGAAUGCGUAGAUAUAUGGAAGAAUACCAGUGGCGAAGGCGGCUCUCUGGUCUGCAACUGACGCUGAGGCUCGAAAGCAUGGGUAGCGAACAGGAUUAGAUACCCUGGUAGUCCAUGCCGUAAACGAUGAGUGCUAAGUGUUGGGAGGCUUCCGCCUCUCAGUGCUGCAGCUAACGCAUUAAGCACUCCGCCUGGGGAGUACGACCGCAAGGUUGAAAC